UACGGGGGGGGCAAGCGUUGUUCGGAAUUACUGGGCGUAAAGGGCUCGUAGGCGGCCAACUAAGUCGGACGUGAAAUCCCCAGGCUCAACCUGGGAACUGCGUCCGAUACUGGAUGGCUUGAAUCCGGGAGAGGGAUGCAGAAUUCCAGGUGUAGCGGUGAAAUGCGUAGAGAUCGGGAGGAACAUCAGUUGCGAAGGCGGCCACCUGGACCAGCACUGACACUGAGGCACGAAAGCGUGGGGAGCAAACAGG
rnacentral:rRNA from 1 species